UCAACCCUAUCAGGUAGUGUGCUUUGCUUAAUAGAGUUGAUCAUGCUGACAGAUGUACCCUGCCUCAGCCUGUUUCAUUGUGAUAUUUAUUUUCCAUAAGGGUUGUCCCUUUUUUGGACCUCAGCAAGGAUCCGAGGGUUUUCACUGCCAGAUGUAUCUCGCUUGUUGAGCAGCAACCCAGCCAAAUUAUGUAGCCUGGAAGAUCGCAAGGGAGCCAUUAAAAUAGGGUGCGAUGCUGACCUGGUCAUCUGGGAUCCUGAUAGUGAGUUUCAGGUGCAAGAGAAGAAUAUUUAUCAUAAGAACAAGCUCACCCCCUAUCUGGGAUUCCUUCUUUGGGGAGAAGUUGUGGCAACUGUUAUUCAGGGGACUCUGGUCUAUCACAAAGGAAAGCAUGUCCUCCAACCUACAGGAGAGCUGAUUCUCAUUCGCACUAUGGACCCGCAGGAACCUAAUGCUCCCUAUUACUGAAUAUCCAAACCAUCUAUACACUUAGUGGACAGGAGCUUCGUUAAGCCAUGUCUUGCCUGUCCUCGUACUGUAUCUUGUAAUGUCCGCUUGUACACUAUAUGAUGAAAUGCAGAUGUCAGGUUAUCUCUCAUGUGACCGUUAGGGCUCAUUCAGGCGACCGCAUCUGUUUUGCAGUCCGCAAAAUACGGAUACCAGCCGUGGAACGGAACUGCCAGCCCUAUGAUAGAAAUGCCUAUUCUUGUCUGCAAAAACGGAAAAGAAUAGGACAUGUUCUAUUUUUCUGUGGGGCCGCGGAAUGGAAGUGCAGAUGCAGGAGAUCACACUGGUACAAGAAUAGGAGGUACGGAUGCAGACAGCACACAAUGUGCUGUCUGCAUCUUUUGCGGCCCCAUUGAAAUGAAUAGGUCCGCAUCCAUUCCGCAAACUUGCAGUAUGGAUGCGGACACAAACAUACGGUUGUCUGAAUGAGCUCUUAUAUGUCUCGCUCCCUCAGCAUUUAACAGUCUUUACCAGGGCAGACAUCGGGGCAGAUUUACUAACAGUGUCAAAGACCAGAUUUAUCACAGGGCUGAUGCUGGAUGAUACUCCGGGGCACCUGUGGCCUGUCUAGUCUAUCUCCUGUCAGGUGGCUUACUUGGUGCCAGAAUUGUGUGUCAGAAUUUUAGUGCAUAUUAAGCCAUACCCCUCUAUCACUAAGAAUGUCAGCGACACUAAAUGUGGCAAACCACCUCUGACAGAUUUGUGACGCUUCUACCCCAAUGUGCUCAGUCAAUGGAGCUUAUUCAUCAAAACUGCCUAACAGUAAAACUGUCUUUGUUGUCCAUAGCAACCAAUCACAGCACAGCUUAUAUCUCUUCCAGUGCCCUUGAAAAAAUGAAAGCUGCACUGUGAUUGGUUGCUAUGGGCAAGCAAAACAGUUUUUCUUCCAGUGUUAUUACCCUGCCCCUAUGUCUUCUGUCUUUACCACAUGCUCCUCUGGAAUAAUUCACACGGUUUUGCUUCUGUUCACAUCAGGGCUUUCCCUCACAAUCAUCCCAACGUCCAUGUUUUGUGAGAUGCCAUCAUUUAGCCAUCAUGUCCUGGUAGUUCCUGAACGCCUUCUCUUUCUUAUCCUGUACCUCCCUGUGAUGUGACAUCAGUAUAAGGCCUCAUGCACACGACCGUUGUUUUGGUCCGCAUCCGAGCCAAAGUUUUUGCGGCUCGGAUGUGGACCCAUUAACUUAAACGUGCCGCAAAAGAUGCGGACAGCAGUCCGUGUGCUGUCCGCAUCCGUUGUUCCGUUCCAUGGUCCGCCAAAAAAUAUAACCUGUCCUAUUCUUGUUCGUUUUGCGGACAAGAAUAGGCAGUUAUAUCAAUGGCUGUCUGUGCUGUUCUACAAAUGGGGGAACACACAGGUACGCCAUCCGUGUUUUGCGGAUCCGCAAUUUGCGGACUGUAAAACACACAACGGUCGUGUGCAUGAGGCCUUACCAGGGUAUUAACCACUUCACAUAAAAUGUCCAUGGUAAUGGUAACACAACAUACAUAAUAUUCCAAAUAUCCUAACAGAAUUGCUUUAUCUUCCUAGUAAAUUUUAUUACUACUGAUUUACUAAAAUAAAUCUGCAAAACCC